rnacentral:rRNA from 1 species
GUGCACCAGGCGCGAAACCUCUACAAUGUGCGAAAGCAUGAUAGGGGGACUCCAAGUGUCUCUCUAAAGAGAGACUUUUGUAGUAUGUAAAAAGUACUACGAAUAAGGGGUGGUCAAGACUAGUGCCAGCCUCCGCGGUAACACUAGCAGCCCGAGUGGUAGUCAUUUUUAUCUGGCUUAAAGCGUCCGUAGUCUGAUUAGUAAGUUCUCUGUGAAAUCCUGUUGCUUAACAAUAGGGCUUGCAGAGAAUACUACCAAUCUUGGAGCCAGGAGGGGUUAGGGGUAUUCCGGGGGUAGCGGUGAAAUGCUAUAAUCCCCGGAGGACCACCAAUGGUGAAGGCACCUAACUGGAAUGGGCUCGACGAUGAGGGACGAAAGCUAGGGGAGCAAACCGGAUUAGAUACCCCGGUAGU